GGCCCCAUAGUAUAACGGUUAGUACACCGGGUUUUCAUCCCGGCGAUCGGGGUUCGAUUCCCCGUGGGGUCACCA
rnacentral:tRNA from 1 species